rnacentral:rRNA from 1 species
CGCUUCGGGUAGCCUCUGGGUCACCUCCACCCGUGUUUAUUUACCUUGUUGCUUCGGCGAGCCUGCCUUUUGGCUGCCGGGGGACGUCAGUCCCCGGGUCCGUGCUCGCCGGAGACACCUUAGAACUCUGUCUGAAGAUUGUAGUCUGAGAUUAAAUAUAAAUUAUUUAAAACUUUCAACAACGGAUCUCUUGGUUCCGGCAUCGAUGAAGAACGCAGCGAAAUGCGAUACGUAAUGUGAAUUGCAGAAUUCAGUGAAUCAUCGAGUCUUUGAACGCACAUUGCGCCCUCUGGUAUUCCGGAGGGCAUGCCUGUCCGAGCGUCAUUGCUGCCCUCAAGCACGGCUUGUGUGUUGGGCCCCGUCCUCCUUCCGGGGGACGGGUCCGAAAGGCAGCGGCGGCACCGCGUCCGGUCCUCAAGCGUAUGGGGCUUUGUCACUCGCUUUGUAGGCCUGGCCGGCGCUUGCCGAUCAACCAAACUUUUUAUCAGGUUGACCUCGGAUCAGGUAGGGAUACCCGCUGAACUUAAGCAUAUCAAUAAGCGGAGGAA